rnacentral:rRNA from 1 species
UACGAGAGGCCCAAACGUUAUUCGGAAUUACUGGACUUAAAGAGUUCGUAGGCGGCGCAGAAAGUAGGGUGUGAAAGCCCUCGGCUCAACCGAGGAAUUGCGCUCUAAACUACUGUGCUUGAGGAAUCUAGAGGUGAGCGGAACUGAUGGUGGAGCGGUGAAAUGCGUUGAUAUCAUCAGGAACACCGGAGGCGAAGGCGGCUCACUGGGGAUUUUCUGACGCUGAGGAACGAAAGCCAGGGGAGCGAACGGG